rnacentral:lncRNA from 10 species
GAUACUGCCUAGUCAAUUACAUGGGCUUCCUUUCACACUUACAUCAAGGCCAAGAGUAAACUGUUCCAAGCACAAUGCAACAGCCUGUUUCUUUUGAAGCAAAUAAAAUAGGAGCAUCGUUUUCAAUCUUUUUUUUUUUUAAUUUUGCCUGAAAAGUGACAGGAUAAGAAUUAGGCUAAAGAGAGAAGCAUGAAGAAACCUUUUCUUCCAGAAGGCUGAACAGCACUGCAUUAACAAUACACUUCCUGAUGGGUGAAGAAACUAAACUGAGAAGAACUAAAUUACUUGCUCAUAGUUAACCAGCUAUUAUGUGGCAGAGCAGAGAAUCAAGGCAACUACCAUUUAUGGAAGGUCAGCUGUAGACCAGAGACA